CCUACGGGUGGCAGCAGUGAGGAAUAUUGGUCAAUGGACGCAAGUCUGAACCAGCCAUGCCGCGUGCAGGAAGACGGCUCUGAGAAUUGUAAACUGCUUUUGUAAGGGAAUAAACGCAGGGACGUGUACCUGGCUGAGAGUAUCGGAAGAAUAAGCAUCGGCUAACUCCGUGCCAGCAGCCGCGGUAAUACGGAGGAUUCAAGCGUUAUCCGGAUUUAUUGGGUUUAAAGGGUGCGUAGGCGGUCGGGUAAGUUAGGGGUGAAAGCCCGGGGCUCAACUUCGGGAUCGCCUCUGAUACUGGUCGGCUCGAGAGUAGGAGCGGUAGGCGGAAUGUGUGGUGUAGCGGUGAAAUGCGUAGAGAUCACACAGAACACCGAUUGCGAAGGCAGCUUGCC
rnacentral:rRNA from 1 species